GUCGUGAGAUGUUGGGUUAAGUCCCGCAACGAGCGCAACCCUUGUCCCUAGUUGCUACGCAAGAGCACUCUAGGGAGACUGCCGGUGACAAACCGGAGGAAGGUGGGGAUGACGUCAAGUCCUCAUGGCCCUUAUGGGUAGGGCUUCACACGUCAUACAAUGGUCGGAACAGAGGGUCGCCAACCCGCGAGGGGGAGCCAAUCCCAGAAAACCGAUCGUAGUCCGGAUCGCACUCUGCAACUCGAGUGCGUGAAGCUGGAAUCGCUAGUAAUCGCGGAUCAGCAUGCCGCGGUGAAUACGUUCCCGGGUCUUGUACACACCGCCCGUCACACCAUGGGAGUGGGUUUUACCAGAAGUGGCUAGUCUAACCGCAAGGAGGACGGUCACCACGGUAGGAUUCAUGACUGGGGUGAAGUCGUAACAAGGUAGCCGUAUCGGAAGGUGCGGCUGGAUCACCUCCUUUCUCGAGCUGACGUGUCCAUCGCGUUGAGCGCUCACGCUUAUCGGCUGUGAAAUCCAGGACAGACUCAGGGGUCUGUAGCUCAGUCGGUUAGAGCACCGUCUUGAUAAGGCGGGGGUCGAUGGUUCGAAUCCAUCCAGACCCACCAAAGUCUUGUCUGUGGUGGCUGCGCUAACUGCAAAACCUCUGGGUAUCGAUACGGAUAGGGAGUUUAUCUGUGCAUGACUGGGGGAUUAGCUCAGCUGGGAGAGCACCUGCUUUGCAAGCAGGGGGUCGUCGGUUCGAUCCCGUCAUCCUCCACCAAUCCUCAAUGCCGGUUUUACUGCGGCGGACCUUGAAAGAGGUUUGCGGUGUAGUGAAACAGGCAUUGGCGAUUGAGCCAGUCAGAGUGAUAUGAAGCAGAGCUUUAUAUCGGCUGUCGUUCUUUAACAAUCAGGAAGAAGUAGUAAAGAGAUUCACGAAAGCAUACUUAGAGAUGGGUGUGUGAGUAGGUGAAUCAGGGUUGUGAUUGUAUCAAUGUAUUUUAAAGGUGAUCGAAAGAUCGCCCUGGAAUACGGCGCAACACGAAUACUCAACCUGUAGCGAUUGUGGCGAGAACGUGAUUCCCAGUGGAUCAUGUAUGAGACACACCCGUUAUAGGGUCAAGCGAACAAGUGCAUGUGGUGGAUGCCUUGGCGAUCACAGGCGAUGAAGGACGCGGUAGCCUGCGAAAAGCGGUGGGGAGCUGGCAAACGAGCUUUGAUCCACCGAUAU
rnacentral:sRNA from 1 species